rnacentral:rRNA from 1 species
AGCAGCCGCGGCAAUUCCAGCUCCAAUAGCGUAUAUUAAAGUUGCUGCAGUUAAAAAGCUCGUAGUUGAAUUUCGGGACCAUCAUGUCGGUCGUGCCUCGGUACGUACUGGCAUUGUUGGUUUCUCCCUUCUGACGAACCAUGAUGUCAUUUAUUUGGUGUUGUGGGGAAUCAGGACUGUUACUUUGAAAAAAUUAGAGUGUUUAAAGCAGGCUCACGCUUGAAUACAUUAGCAUGGAAUAAUGAAAUAGGACGUUUGAUUCUAUUUUGUUGGUUUCUAGGAUCGACGUAAUGAUUAAUAGGGAUAGUUGGGGGCAUUAGUAUUCAAUUGUCAGAGGUGAAAUUCUUGGAUUUAUUGAAGACUAACUACUGCGAAAGCAUUUGCCAAGGAUGUUUUCAUUAAUCAAGAACGAAAGUUAGGGGAUCGAAGACGAUCAGAUACCGUCGUAGUCUUAACCAUAAACUAUGCCGACUAGGGAUCGGAUGAUGUUAAUUUUUUAAUGACUCA